UAAUACGGAGGGGGUUAGCGUUGUUCGGAAUUACUGGGCGUAAAGCGCACGUAGGCGGAUUGGAAAGUUGGGGGUGAAAUCCCGGGGCUCAACCCCGGAACUGCCUCCAAAACUUCCAGUCUGGAGUUCGAGAGAGGUGAGUGGAAUUCCGAGUGUAGAGGUGAAAUUCGUAGAUAUUCGGAGGAACACCAGUGGCGAAGGCGGCUCACUGGCUCGAUACUGACGCUGAGGUGCGAAAGUGUGGGGAGCAAACAGGAUUAGAUACCCUGGUAGUCCACACCGUAAACGAUGAAUGCCAGUCGUCGGGUAGCAUGCUAUUCGGUGACACACCUAACGGAUUAAGCAUUCCGCCUGGGGAGUACGGCCGCAAGGUUA
rnacentral:rRNA from 1 species